CCUACGGGAGGCAGCAGUGGGGAAUAUUGGACAAUGGACGCAAGUCUGACCCAGCGACGCCGCGUGAGUGAAGAAGGCUUUCGGGUUGUAAACUUCUUUUAGCAGGGAAGAGCAUAAGACGAUACGCCUUAAAUACGCCACGGCUAACUACGUCCCAGCAGCCGCGGUAAUACGUGGGUGGCAAGCGUUCUCCGGAUUUACUGGGUGUAAAGGGCGUGCAGACGGGAAGACAAGUCAGAUGUGAAGUCCCGGGGCUCAACCGCGGAACUGCAUUUGAAACUGUGUGUCUUGAGUAUAGGAGAGGUAAGCGGAAUUCCUAGUGUAGCGGUGAAAUGCGUAGAUAUUAGGAAGAACACCAGUGGCGAAGGCGGAUUACUGGACGACAACUGACGGUGAGGCGCGAAAGCGUGGGGAGCAAACAGGAUUAGAUACCCGGGUAGUC
rnacentral:rRNA from 1 species